rnacentral:misc_RNA from 1 species
UACAAUAAGCCGAUGCUCUGGAUUCGAAAGAAAAAGAAGGAAGCAUGGUAAUGUGCACAGAAAUUGAAUCGUUGGGUGAACAUGUCUGCUCCCUCUGAUGUGUCUUUGAUGAGGGGGCCUGGUUUCGACCCACAUUUUUUCUUUUUCUUUUAUUUUCUGCUUCUGGGAUUUGUUUUUCAAAAGUAAAUUAUUAGUAUAUUUAAUUUUUUUUUAGAAUUAAUCAAUCUUAGUUUAAUGGUAACAUUGUCUUCUGAGAUCUCAAAAGUUGUAUAAUUGUGUGUGAAUUUGCUUAUGAGACAUUUUGAAAGAAGGUAUUAUUAUUUAAAAUUCAUAAUUUGUUGGUAAUUUAUAUUAAAAUUAAACUCAG